CGAUAGCUCAGUCGGUAGAGCAGAGGACUGAAAAUCCUCGUGUCGGUGGUUCGAUUCCGCCUCGG
rnacentral:tRNA from 1 species